rnacentral:lncRNA from 1 species
CAGACGGCGUGGGUGGGGCUCCUGCCAACGGCCGCUCUGUGGGAGUGGGGGAGAGCAAGGCGCCGGCUGCGGGGGGGCCUCGGCUGCGUGCCGCUUCGCCGACCGCCCACCGGAGAGGCGGCACGCCAGGAGGAACGGCACUGCUCCGCGCCGGUUGGCGGCGGCCCGCUUAUGUGGAGGUCGGGGCUGUGCCGGGCAGGUGUGUAUGGAGGACAGCGUAAUGGCUGCUACAGUAAAAGAGUGUCUUGAGCUCCAGCUCCUGGAAGUGGAAAUGCUCUUGUCAAUGUUUCCUAAAAAAGGCGAAAUAAAUCUGUGUGAUGAGGAUGCUGUGCUUGGCAUGCGGCGCUGA